rnacentral:rRNA from 1 species
UAGGGAAUCUUCGGCAAUGGGGGGAACCCUGACCGAGCAACGCUGCGUGAGUGAAGAAGGUUUUCGGAUCGUAAAGCUCUGUUGUUAAGGAAGAACGAGUGUGAGAAUGGAAAGUUCAUGCUGUGACGGUACUUAACCAGAAAGGGACGGCUAACUACGUGCCAGCAGCCGCGGUAAUACGUAGGUCCCGAGCGUUGUCCGGAUUUAUUGGGCGUAAAGCGAGCGCAGGCGGUUAGAAAAGUCUGAAGUGAAAGGCAGUGGCUCAACCAUUGUAGGCUUUGGAAACUGUUUAACUUGAGUGCAGGAGGGGAGAGUGGAAUUCCAUGUGUAGCGGUGAAAUGCGUAGAUAUAUGGAGGAACACCGGUGGCGAAAGCGGCUCUCUGGUCUGUAACUAACGCUGAGGCUCGAAAGCGUGGGGAGCGAACAGG